GUACUUACCUGGUGCCGGGACCUCCGUGAUCAGGAAGGCGGAGACCCCAGGAGGAGGCCCUUCCAUUGCACUCCGGAAGGGCUGAGACCUGCCACUGAAUAUUCAAGUCAACAACAUCACAAC
rnacentral:snRNA from 13 species